rnacentral:rRNA from 1 species
UUGUCCUUAGUUACCAGCACGUUAUGGUGGCACUCUAAGGAGACUGCCGGUGACAAACCGGAGGAAGGUGGGGAUGACGUCAAGUCAUCAUGGCCCUUACGGCCUGGGCUACACACGUGCUACAAUGGUCGGUACAAAGGGUUGCCAAGCCGCGAGGUGGAGCUAAUCCCAUAAAAACCGAUCGUAGUCCGGAUCGCAGUCUGCAACUCGACUGCGUGAAGUCGGAAUCGCUAGUAAUCGUGAAUCAGAAUGUCACGGUGAAUACGUUCCCGGGCCUU